GUGCUAACAUUGGUAGCACAUAUACUAAAACUGGACCAAAGCAGAGGUUAGCAUGGCCCCUGUGCAAGGACGUCAGGAAAACACAUUCUUUUAUUU
ensembl:snRNA U6 U6 spliceosomal RNA